AGAGUUUGAUCCUGGCUCAGGACGAACGCUGGCGGUGUGCUUAACACAUGCAAGUCGAACGGUAAGGCCCUUUCGGGGGUACACGAGUGGCGAACGGGUGAGUAACACGUGAGUAACCUGCCCUCAUCUCUGGGAUAACAGUCGGAAACGGUUGCUAAUACUGGAUAUGAGCCUGCAAGGCAUCUUGUGGGUUGGAAAGAUUUUUUGGUUGGGGAUGGACUCGCGGCCUAUCAGCUUGUUGGUGAGGUAGUGGCUCACCAAGGCUUCGACGGGUAGCCGGCCUGAGAGGGCGACCGGCCACAUUGGGACUGAGAUACGGCCCAAACUCCUACGGGAGGCAGCAGUGGGGAAUAUUGCACAAUGGACGGAAGUCUGAUGCAGCAACGCCGCGUGCGGGAUGACGGCCUUCGGGUUGUAAACCGCUUUCAAUUGUGACGAAGCUUUUUGUGACGGUAGCAGUAGAAGAAGCACCGGCUAACUACGUGCCAGCAGCCGCGGUGAUACGUAGGGUGCGAGCGUUGUCCGGAUUUAUUGGGCGUAAAGAGCUUGUAGGUGGUUUGUCGCGUCGGGAGUGAAAACUCAGGGCUUAACUCUGAGCUUGCUUUCGAUACGGGCUGACUUGAGGGAGGUAGGGGAGAAUGGAAUUCCUGGUGGAGCGGUGGAAUGCGCAGAUAUCAGGAGGAACACCGGUGGCGAAGGCGGUUCUCUGGACCUUUCCUGACGCUGAGAAGCGAAAGCGUGGGGAGCGAACAGGCUUAGAUACCCUGGUAGUCCACGCUGUAAACGGUGGGUACUAGGUGUGGGGGACAUUCCACGUUCUCCGUGCCGUAGCUAACGCAUUAAGUACCCCGCCUGGGGAGUACGGCCGCAAGGCUAAAACUCAAAGGAAUUGACGGGGCCCCGCACAAGCGGCGGAGCAUGCGGAUUAAUUCGAUGCAACGCGAAGAACCUUACCAAGGCUUGACAUGCAUUAGAUCGCGUCAGAGAUGGCGUUUCCCUUCGGGGCUGGUGUACAGGUGGUGCAUGGUUGUCGUCAGCUCGUGUCGUGAGAUGUUGGGUUAAGUCCCGCAACGAGCGCAACCC
rnacentral:rRNA from 1 species